AUACGUAGGCAGCGAGCGUUGUUCGGAGUUACUGGGCGUAAAGGGUGUGUAGGCGGUUCUCCGUGUCUGGGGUGAAAUCUCCCGGCUCAACUGGGAGGGUGCGCCGGAAACUGGAGGGCUUGGAGUGCGGGAUGGGAGAGUGGAAUUCCUGGUGUAGCGGUGAAAUGCGUAGAUAUCAGGAGGAACACCGGUGGUGUAGACGGCUCUCUGGACCGUAACUGACGCUGAGACACGAAAGCGUGGGUAGC
rnacentral:rRNA from 1 species